GCAGGAUCAGGUCCCUGGAAUAAUGGAUUUGGGGUGUGCUGGACAGUCUGCUGGGCUGGGAAGCUGAAUUCCAGGUCAAUCUCUGCCAUGGACUUGCCGUAUAAUCCUGAGUAAGUAUGUUCCUUCUCAAGUCUUCAAUCUGCCCAUGUGUUCAAUGGGAGGGUUGGACAAGGUCCCAUCUUGCUCUAAGACAUUUUAUCUGAAAGAGUCUGACACCCAAAAAAGAGAACAUACCUAGUCCCAAAUCACGGAUGAGUCUGAACGCAGCUGGAAGAAUUCUAGAAUUAGAAGAAAUGGUAUGGAAGAGAGACCAUUUGAGUAAAUAACAAGGAGGAACUUUAAGAACUAAUGAAAGACAGGGCGCCUGGGUGGCGCAGUCGGUUAAGCGUCCGACUUCAGCCAGGUCACGAUCUCGCGGUCCGUGAGUUCGAGCCCCGCGUCGGGCUCUGUGCUGACUGCUCAGAGCCUGGAGCCUGUUUCCGAUUCUGUGUCUCCCUCUCUCUCUGUCCCUCCCCCGUUCAUGCUCUGUCUCUCUCUGUCCCAAAAAAUAAAUAAACGUUGAAAAAAAAAAUUAAAAAAAAAAAAAAGAACUAAUGAAAGACAUAAUCCUUAGAAUCAAGAAUUUUAAUAAAUUCUAAGUGGAUAGAUGAAGAAAAAAACCCACAUCUCAACACAUCACAGUGAGUCUGAAGACGGUAUUCUCCAUCUUCUGUGCUUUAUUGUUGCUAUUGAAAAGAAAGUCAUUAGUCUAAUUUCCUUCCUUUAUUGCUAAUUACCUUCUGUCUUUGCAGUUCUGCAAAGUGUAAGAGAGAAUAACCACCAACCUAGAUGUGAAUACCCAGAGAAACUAUCUUUCAAAAAUGAAGAGGAAAUAAAGACAUUUUCAGAUAAAAAAGAGAAUAUACCUGAAAACUAAGGAAAGUAGAUCCCAGAUGGAAAGUCUGAGUUGCAGUAGAAAGUAGAGAAAGUGGCAAAUCAAUGGGUAAAUAUAAAAAGACACUGACUGUAUAAAACAACAGCAAUAGUGUCUCAUGGAAUGUUAAAAAGAGAGAGAGAGAGAGAGAGAGAGAGAGAGAGAUUACCAAAUAAACUGAUAGUAAUAAUAAAAGAUAGAGGAGGAAGGAGUAAAGUGUCCAAAGGUCCUUGGAUUAUUCAGAAGGAGAUAAAGUAUUGAUUUUACUUUAACUUUAAACUUUGAUAUGUAAAGUUUGAUAUGCUAAAGUUUCUAGGUAGCCACUUAAGGAUAUAUUUCAACAACUUUUAUGGGGCACCUGGGUGGCUCAGUUGGUUGGGCAUCCAACUUCGGUUCAGGUCAUGGUCUUGGGGUUCCUGAGUUCGAGCCCCACAUUGGGCUCUCUCUCUCUGCCCCACCCCCAUUCUCCCUCCCUUUCUCUCCCUCUCUUUCUGCCCCUCUCCCACUCACACACACACACUCUCUCUCUCUCUCAAAAAGAAAUAAACAUUUAAAAAAAAAGAAUAGGGGCGCCUGGGUGGCUCAGUCGGUUAAGCGUCCGACUUCAGCUCAGGUCACGAUCUCGCGGUCCGUGAGUUCGAGCCCCGCGUCAGGCUCUGGGCUGAUGGCUCAGAGCCUGGAGCCUGCUUCUGAUUCUGUGUCUCCCUCUCUCUCUGCCCCUCCCCCAUUCAUGCUCUGUCUCCCUCUGUCCCAAAAAUAAAUAAACGUUAAAAAAAAUAAAUAAAAUUUAAAAAAAGAAUAUAUUUCAACAACUUUUAAACAUGGUAGAAAAUGGAGUGAGAGAAAAUGUUUAGUCAAUCCAAAAGAAAGCAAGAAAUACAGAAAAAAUGCAGAAUGCCAUCUUCAAUAAGAAAUAGAAAAAAGAAAGCACAAAACAAAAUGGACAGAGGAAGGGGAAGUUUUGCACCCAGCUGAGGCACGGAGGCUGGGGAAGUCUGCAAAUGGUACUGAGGGCACUUUCCUGACUUUGACCCCUAACCUUCAAUAACCUACAAGAGGCUCCCACCUAUGUCCUUCAGAAAUACCAUUUAAGUAAAAACAAAGCACUUGUUAUGUAAAUGCAAAAAAGCAGUGCUCCAGAUAUUCCCUACUCCUCCUCCAAAACAUACCUCCCAUUCCAGUUGAGGGUUCCUGUGCAGAUUAGAUGUUUAAUUUGCACAUGCAAAGAUAGAAGGUGCUCCGGUCAAUUUCAUGGGCCUUUUAUUGGGAUUCUCCUGAGCACAGGAAGGACUGACCCAACCAUUGGGGCGCAUCAAAAAUGUAAGAGGCUUAGGGGCACCUGUCUGGCUCAGUUGGUGGAGCAUAUGACUUCUGCUCUCAACGUUGUGAGUUGGAUCCACGUUGGGGGUAGAGAUUACUUAAAAAUAAAAUAUUUAAAAAAUACUUAUAAGAGGCUUGGUAUUAGACUCAAAUGGGGGUGGGGUGGGAUUCCUGGACAUGCCUUGCAGCCUGGAGAUAGGAAAAGGACAGGAGAACAGGAGCUCACAGUUACAGAACACUUACCAUGCCAGGCCCAUUAUACAAUCAGCCUGCCAGGCAGGCACACCUGAGCUUUGAGAUGGUAAACUCCCCAUCACUCUGAAGUAAGUGAGCAGGGCUAGGGUUACAGUCAGUGAGAGAGAGGAAGAGGGGCUGAUUCAAUGCCCACAGAAACUCCUUUCUCCCUAGCUCAGAGAACAGGGCUCCACUUGAGCAAAGCAGGCCUUUUGAUGGCCCAUUCUCUGGGGACAAUCGAUGGGCUGGGGCAGGUACAGGUCAGGGCAAGUGAUCAAGUUACCUGGCUAUCCUGUGGGUCCUGCACCCUCCCUGUGACAGCUCAAGCAAUUAGGCAGAAUUUAGGGUUAGGACAGUGUCCAAGAUCUCUGAGAGCUGGCUAAGUACCUUCGUCUCUUUGUGCAGCCUACAGCCCUGCCCUGGGAAUGGCUCCCUUUACUGUGAUCAGGAAACAUUUCCUGGCCCUCAGGCCUGCUGAGGGGGAGCUGAGCAGAUUUAGAAAAAGGGCUGGGCUCAGAGAAAAGUCCUGCUGGUUUGAGCAGGAAUGGGUAGGGGUGUACUCUGGUGACCUAGGCCAAAGCCAUGGCAGAGGAACAACUCUGGGGCCAGAAACAGAACACAGUGGAUGGAGGAGUGAGUGGGGAGUAAAGAAUGUAGGCAGUGAGGGACACGGAUCAACUGAGCAGGGCUCAAAAGAGGAGAGGAGCACCAAAGUAUGCUUUACUUUAAAGGUGGAGAGACCGGAGCAUUUUUUAAUGUUGAAGGGAGGAUUCUUUUAAUGCUGAAGGGAGGAUUUUUUUUAAUGCUGGGAGAGAACAAGGUUGAAAAUGCAGGGCACGGGGAUAAGAGAUGGACCCAGGUCCCAAGCAGGCAGGAAGACACGACCACUCCAAGAUGGAGAAGGUGCAAGAGAGUGGGGUGGGCUGAAGGGAUGAAGGUGAGGUUCUCAGGGGAUCAAAAAGGAUGCUGGAUCCUUCUCAGGGCAGAAGCCAGGUUCAGGCAGAAGGGAGGUUACCCUGAGUAGAAGACAUGAAUAGGAAAUGGUGGCCACCCAGAGAAGCUCAGGGACAGUGUCAGAGAAAGGACAUAGAACAGAGCGUGAGCUGGGGCACACCAUACUGAAGGCAGAUAAAGGAUAACAGAACCUGCCUGGAGCGGAGGUGCACAGAGUCUAUGAGGGCUAUGGCAGCCCUGGAUAGAGAGCUUAGCCCAGUGUCAGUGAUAAUGGGCUCUGAGCACCUGCCCACAGUACCCCGACUGGUUCCUCCUCAGGGACUGUUCUUCAUCCUUCAAGACCCGGCCUGGGGCCUUCCCCAGUCCCUGCCACCCAGCCAGAGUGAACACCUCCAUCCUGAGAGCCCCCGCAGGCCUCUCUUGAGAAUCGCAACCCCUGAAAUAGUGCCAGGAGCACCCAGAUCUUUAGGUAUGUUGCUUUUAUUUUCCCUUUAACCCUUAUAACACACUGUCCAUAAGCAGGAAUUACCAUCCCUAUUUUACUGAAGGGAGGACUGAGGUUAAGAGAGAGCAAGACAGUUGCCCAAGAUGUCUCAGCCAGGACUUGGCCAGGUCAGUCUGACCACAAAGCCCAGCCUCUCCACUUUGCCAUGAUUUCCCUGCUCUGAACUGUGGGCUCCAGAGGGCAGGAAUGGGGGCAGCAGAUCCAGCAUGGUGCUUGGGAAUAUUUGUUAAGAUGACACCAGAGACAGAUCAUCUAGUGUGACCUUUCAGAUGGAUAAGGAAAUUGAGGCUCAGUAGAGGAAGAGGGACUCAUCAGGGUUGCCUGGCAAAUUGGUCCCAGUGCUGGCUUAGGACACAGAUCUUCUGACUCUGAAGCCAGAGGCAGGCCUAGAGAACCCAGAAUAAUGUUUGGCUCCUUUCCUUGGCACCACACUCUCACUUGUAGCUAAUUAUUUGCCUGCUAAUCCCAUUGUAUACUAGGUCAGAAACAGAGUCUCCUCUGACUCUCUUCCAGAGUCUUCUGGAACUUUGGAAGGCUUCCCACCAAUCUCCCUGCUUCUUCUACCAAAGGAAGCCAUUCCAAGAAACAAUGCAGCCAUCUUGCCCAAGAAAUCUGGGCUGGGAGCUGAGUCCACAGGCCAAGGGUUAGGCUGGGUCCUCCUUGGAAACACGAGAGAAGUCACAGAUCAGAAACAUCUGUGGGAAGGGGCCCAGAUGUGAUUUGGAGAAGUGGCUACAGAGCCGAAGUCUGUGUAAGAGGUAGGCACCCAGAAAGGAGUGUGGGAAGGGCACUUCAGGUGGAGGGAACAGCAAGAACAAAGGUGGUAGAAAAGUGAAAGAUGAAAAGGACAUCACAAGUUCAGGAUGGCUGUAAUCAAGGUGCCAUGAGACAUAGGGUUCAGGAGUAAUAGGGGAGGAGAUAGUGUACAGGGCUGAGUGAAGCCAGAAAUCCUCCCCAUACAAGGAAGAGAAUGGCACUGGGCACUUCAGGCGAGAACAGAAUGAGCAAAUACCACAAGAGGGAACAAAGAGAAAACUAUUUGAAUCAUGGCACUACUCAGUCUAGAAGCUACCAAUGGAAUCACACCUCUCACCCUCAGGAUGGAAGUCAAAUCCUUUGCAACCCAGGCCCUGGUACAAGCAGAUUCCUGCAGGUUACCCGAUGUCCCGUCCUCACCUGCUGUUCCCUCCUCAUCUCCUGCUCCUUAUGCCCAGGACAAGCUGUGCAGUUCUGUUCAUGCUGUUGCCUCUGCCUGGAAUGCUCUCACAAGCUCAAAUGUCACUUCCUCCAUGAAGCCCUCCAUGGCCUACACUUGCAACUGGAUACUCCCUGCUCUCUGCCCCAACGUACCCCAGUGCUGGCCUCCACCACAGCUCUGGUUACACACCACAGCUCAGUUUUAUAAUUAUAUAACAGGCGCCCAAAAUUAUAUAACAGGAAAGAGAAAAGUGUUAUUUUUAAAAGGCAUCUGCAAUCUGGGCCAAUUGGCUUAGGAAGGAAGAAGGUAGAUCUGUUCUUAGGGUAAAAAAAAAUGUUCUUCUGGUUGGAGAAUGGCCCUAAGAGGGCACUUUUGAUGAAAUGCCCUGCCCAUAGGUUAGAUGUGAGCUGAGUGGAGAGAGUUUAAGUUGUUCUGUGAGAAGUUUCCUACCCAGGGUUCUGCUAUCUGUGUGCCUCUUUCCCUGCCCCUUCCGGUCCCCACCCAGGCAGCUAGGUAGGCCCAGGCUCUUUGCAAUCAGAGUUAAGUUCUUGAUUUGGGGAUUCAAAUGCUGAGACCUUGAAUUCCAAAAACCUAGGCUUUGAACUUCAAAAGCCUAAGCCCUGAAGGAUUUGGAGCAUCAACUCUAUAACGUAUAGUAGAUCUGGAGAAGUACAUGCUCAGUCAGGGCCACAUUCCUGCAGGUGAGACCAGAACUGAACUCAAGUGGGGCAGCAGGGAGAGAGGAAAGGCUGGGAUGAAGAAGAGAUGAGACACUGACAAGUCCCUGAGAAAGGUCUUUGCAUCGCAUAUGUGAGAACUCUGUGGAGAUAAGAGACACGUGUAACACCUAGGGCAAGCCCAGGAACACAGCAAAGCUGAGUAGUGGCUUUGGAGAAGUGGCAAAGAAGGGGAUGGCAUGGUGCCUCUGGGCUCACAGCUCUUAACCUCACUGCAUGGGAGCAAAUGAGGUUUCCGUGCACUUAGGUGGGGUGCAGGGGCGACUGGGAGGGAGGUGGACCUGGAGAGGCUGGUGGUUGAAAAUGAGGGAAGACAUGGCAGCCACCCUCAUGAGUUGGCAAUAAGGGUGAGACAGCAGCAUGUACAGCUCAGGGUAUGCCCCCAAGAUCAGGCACCCCAAGCACCAUACUCCCCACAAUUGCAGUGACUACUAGAACUUGACAUACACCUGGCAGAAGAAAUUAGGAAACCCUGUAGUGACAGAAACAUGUUUCUGGUGCCUGUAGGGAGGGUGUCGGAAGAAGAAAAGCUUAAAUGUGGAGACAGAACAUUUCAUUUCUUGCAGCCUUACAUUUAUGGACUAAGAAUCCAACUGUUGGAUGGUUCCCCAUAUGAAAACCAGAAUUACUGCAGCUGAAGAGGUACAGGAAGACUGAGGGCAGAAGAAGAAAGAAAGGCCAGAGAUGACAGGAGAGAGCUUCGGCUGAAAGGUGGACAGGACCAGCAAGAAUCCCCUGUGGUGUGGAGCGCCUGUGAACUUGCACUGAAGUAAGUGUAACACUCAAAUUUAUGUUCUCAUCUGUCUUGGUCUUUCCUGCAGCUCCCCUCUGUGGCCCCAAAUUGUCAGUCUCACCUACUACAGACGCUAGCUUUGCAUUAGUGAUGCUUUGUCAAGAUGAAGAAGGAGAGGCAAUGGUGUGUAUGCAACCAAGCACCAAGAAAGAGCAUGGUCUUGCCAGGACAUACGGUGGAUGUGGCCAGCUGGCGCUGAGGCUGGGGUCUUCUCAAAGUUUCCCUCACUCGCAUGUCACCCACAGGUCACCUGGGAUGUCAGCUGAGGCUGUUGGCCAGAAACAUACACAUGGCCUCUCCAUGUGGCCUGGGCUCCCUCAUGGAAUGACAGCUGAGUUCCCAAAGCAAGUGGCCAGAGAGAGAGCUUGACAGAAGCUCUAUCACCUUGUAUGAUUUUGACUCGGGAAUCGGGUAGCAUCACUUCUGCCUCAUUCUGUUUAUUAAAAGCAGAUCACAGAGGUUGGCCCACACUCAAGUGGAGGGGAUUAGACUCAACUUCUUUUUUUUUUUUUCAAGUUUGUUUGUUGAGAAAGAGAGAGCGAGCAGGAGGGGCAGAGAGAGAAGGAGAGAGACAGAGUCCCAAGCAGGCUCCACACUGUCAGUGCAGAGUCUGAUGCACAGCUUGAACUCAAGAAAUGUGAGAUCAUGACCUGGGCAGAAAUCAAGAGCUGGACACUUAAUCAACUGAGCCACCUGGGUGCCCUUAGACUCAGCUUCUUGAUAGGAAGAGUAUUAGAGAAUUGGCAGACAUGCUUAAAACCACCACAAAGACCAAAAGGUGACCAAGAGAAACACAAGUCCCUGAGAAUCUCUGAAAAUAUUGAUUGUGAGGGUCACGCUAGUUUCCCCACCAUGGUGGAAAUGGGUCUCAGAUGAUUCUAUUUGAGUAGCAAAGAGCAGGAUGACCUGAGAGGUUAGAGGACUUUGGGGAACCAGUGUGCCUGACUGCCAGUGUGCCUCAGAAGCACACUCACUGCCCUCUGCCCCUGGGCAUUGGACUAUGCAGGUGAAUGAGUAACCUACUACAACUGGAACCAUUCAGGGUUUCAGUUUCCAGGGUGGGCACAUGCUUGCUUACACUCUGAAAAGUUUGUAAAAUGCAUGAUGCUCAAAGGAGCAUUGCUACAAGAGAGGGUACAACACUUUUCAUAAAUGGAAAUGAGCAUCUGGAAUGGACUUUGGGACUGACCAGGUCUCCUCUGGACACACCCAGAAGUGGGCAAUGGUUCCUCCAGUGAUCAAAACUCUCAAACUAAACCAGGCAGCUAAAAUCAGUAUAGAUAUAUUGAAAAAUUAAUCCCUCUACAGCAGUUAGUGUCUAAUAAUAAAACAAUCAGACCUGUGUAUUGCAAACAUGUCUGUGAGUGGGAGGAGGACAAGACAAGGGCAGAAAAUGUGAAUCAGUUUCUGCCAAAAGGAAACAAAAAAAAGAAAAAAUCCCAGGGCCCCCCAGCUCCCAUUGCCUCUGAGGACCCUCCCUUGGGAGAGGCUCAGCUCCUGACAGUAAAUUGUUCACCUUCUUCCCUGCAGCAAGUCCAGAAGAGGAGGAAUUACUUCUGCUUAGUCAUUGUUGCCACUUCCCUGAGAGAAUGGAAGUCCCAGAACACACGCAUAUUACUCAACCUGUCCACUUUGACUCUCUCCCAUCUCUAGCCUCACCUUCUCCCUUGCCCUCUCUCCUGAUAAGCGACAACAGGGAAUGGAUAAUGUGGAGGCCAGGAGCUACACAGAGACUUUGUAAAGACCAUGGGCAGACUUCUGGAGAGGGAAGUGGCUGGGGAGAAGGGAGAAGGGAAUGUUCCUCAAAGCACAACUCAAAGAUAGGCUCUCCCUCUGGCCAUGGUGGGGUGUGGUGGGGGAUAUGCCCUACCUGUGGAAGGGUACCUGGAGGAAGGGGCAACCUGACUAGCAAGGACAAUGAAGCCAGCUCUUUCUUCAUGCCACUUGGUACAGUUUUCCCAAAACCUCAGAGGAGAUUAGAGCAGCAGGAACUAAAAGCCACGGACCUGAGCAGUGAAGCCAUCUGAGAUCAUGUUCAUACAUUCAACAGACACCCAUUAAGGUACUACUAUGUGCUGGACCCAGUGCUGAGGGCUGGGGACACAGCUAUCUCAGACAUGGUGCUUGGGGUCAAUGGAAGAGACACAGAAUUAGGGCAGUCACGUGUUUUUGGUGCUGGAACACGAAGAGGAGAGGAGGAAUUUGUUUUAGCUUGGGUGGAAAGAGAGGUCAUGGAAGCCUUCCCAGGGAAGGGUCACUAGACCUGAGUCUGGAAAGAUAAACAAGCAUUCCCUAGCAGAGGAAGUAAUGUGGGUAGCCAAGACCACAGAGGUGGGGGAUAGCUGGGGCACUAGGUGUGAGGAUGGGGUAGACUGAAGGAAGACCCUAGAGAAGCAGGCCAGGCCCAGACCAUGCCCAACAUUGCAGAAUUUGGAGGAAUUGGAGCUUUACCCUAUAGAGGCCAUGGGAGUGCUGGAAGGCUUGAAGGGAAGUGAGGCAUUGGCAGUGAGGCCCACUGUGGCUAUGAUGUGGGGAUCAGUGUGAAGAGGUGGAAAGGUGUGGAGGGUGGGAGAUCAGUGGGGAGGGCUGACAAGAGAUGAUGGAGGCUUAUGCUAGGGCAGGGGCUAUUCAGGAACACCUGGACGCAGGACUAGCAGCAGCAAGACCAGGAUAAUUGACAAGGCCAGAGGCCAGUGGUCAGGAUCCAGCUGUCCAGUGUCCCAGAUACUAACCCCAAGCAUCUGGUUCCAAUCCCAAUCGCAGAUUUGAAUGGAAAGAAGAUGUGGUAUUGUAAUAUAUAAUAACAUAUAUAUAUGUUAGAAAUAUAUAUGUUAUAUAUAGAAAUUUAUAUAUAAAUAUAUAAAAUAUAUAUAAAUGUAUUUUAGAAAUAUAUGUUAUAUAUAGACAUAUAAAUACGUAAACAUAUAUACACACACACACACACACACACACACACGCACAUAUAAAGAUAUAUAUAUCUUCCCUUGGUUCCUGGCACAGAGCUCCUAAAACUCUUGUAAAACCUAAGAACACUAAGAGCAUCUUUUGUUCUAAUAUUUGUCUUUGACCCUGGUUUUGAACACAGGGCUCCUGAAAUCCUUAUAAUUUCCUGGGCGAUGGAAGUGUCUUUCAUUCCAACAAGGCAACUCUGGGUGUAUCCUGGAUAGCUCCUAGAUGAGGGCUAAUCACCAGAAAAACAAAGCCAUAAUUAGAAGCUUGGAAUUUUCAACCGUACUUCCCAUUCUCUUAAGAAGGGCAAAGGGCUACAAAUGGACUUAAUGAUUUAACAUUAAGAUGCCUCACUAAAGAUAAACCCUCACUAAAAUCCCAAAAGUACAGAGUUCAGAGAGCUUUCAGGUGGGCAAACACAUCCACACCAGGAAAACAAAAACUCCUGUGCUCAGGACCCUAUGUAUCUUUUCAUCUGGAUGUUUGUCUGCAUCCUUCAUCAUAUCCUUUUAUAAUGUACCAAUAAACCUAAUUAAACUGUUUUCCUGAGUCUGUGAGCCACUCUAGCAAACUAAUCGAAUGCAAGGAGGAUUUCACUGGAAUUUUUGAUCCAUAUAUAGCCAACUGGUCAGAAGCACAGGUGACAAACUGAACUUGUGACCAGUGUUAGGGGAGGUGGGGGCACUUGUAAGACGGAGCCCUUAACCUGUGGGAUCAAACACUAUUUCCAGGAAGAUAGUGUUAGAAUUGACUACAAUUGUAGGGCACCCCACUGGUGUCCAGAUGAUUGCUUGGUGUGGAGAAAAACCUCCCCACAUUUGGUGACUGGAAGUGAAGUGUUCUGUGUGGAUAGCAAAGAAGAGUCACUGGCAGGAAACAUCCAGUAGGAAAGAACCCAGCUUUUCCUGAAAAGAUAAAAAGUUGAAGCUUUUUCCUUUUUAGAAAUAUUGGGGCCAGCUUCAGAAAGAAAAGAGAGAUAGAGAGAGGAAGGCAUCAUGGGAGACACUGGCCAGUGACAGAAUCCAGUGGGGGAGGCAGGGAGCAGGGUGACUUCCUCCUCGAGCUGGGGAUCUGCACUCAACCCUGUGUGGUGUUGACUUGGAGCAGUAGGAUGGCUGGGAGGGAGGAGGACCCCUCCUUGACUUCAUUCAACAAGUUCAUUCAACAGACAUUUGUCCUGGGCCUGCUGAGGGAGAGGCACCAAUCUUUUGGAAACAGCAGACCUGGUAUGCCAUUUACUAACUCCAUGGCCUCAGGCAAGUAACUUAAUCUCUGGGCCAGUUUUCCCAUCUGGAAAAUGGAAAUGAUCAUCCCUUCCAUAUAUAGUUGUUUUAGGGAUUAGAAACAGUAAUAGCAGGAGGAGCCAAGAUGGUGGAACAGCAUGGAAGUUUUUGUUGUGUCUCGCAUCCAUGAAAUACAGCCAGAUCAACACUAAACCACACUGCACACCUAGAAAACUGAUUUGAGGAUUAACACAACAAUCUGCACAACCUGAACCACAGAACUCAGCAGGUACAUGGUGCGGAGAGAUGAACUAGGGGAGAAAGAAGCCGCGGAUGGCAGGGAGCUGUUUGCAUGUGUGGAGAGAGGAUGGAGACGGGGGUGGGGAAAAUAUGGGAAAAGCACACCCCCAAAAGCAGCUGAAGAGAAAGUGGAAAAGUGGAAACAUCCACAGGGACUGAACUAAAAAGGGAGAAAAGGAGAAAGGAGAGGGUUUAAAUUCCAUUAAGACUCUAUAAACAGGGGGAGUGCAGAGUCUGAGGCUCCGCAGCUCAAUACCUGGUGGUGCUCUGGUGGGAAGGGCAAAUCCCCUGAAGUCCGGGGGUCUUCAGGCCACACAGAGAGAGGCAGUUCCCCUGCUGGAAGGACAUCUGGUAGGGGCUGUGUGGCCCCCCACAGGCAACAGUUCCAGUGGACCUGGGAUAACAACCACAUUCGCUGGUGCUGGAACAAGGUGGUUGGGAGUGAAGCCUGGUACCAGACGCAUGUUGUCAUUUGCCAUAAUCUCUGAAACGCUGCUGUGACACAAUCGCAUGAACUUUUUCUGGGGUGGGCUGGCACCCAGCUGCAGUCUCUGGGCAUCAACAGCAGCACAGUCCUGCAAAUGUUCCUGGGUGCGGCCAGCACCCAGCCAUUACUCAGUGAAACUGUCCCGCAGAGGGGCAGAACAGGUCAAAGCCACAGUCCCUCAGAAAUAAGGGGUGGGGAAAAACAGCCACAUCUGAGAUAAAACUCAGGAGGGAGGUGCUGCCUAGGGCUUGGUCACGAACAGUGUAAAAGCAGGGAGUGGAUGGAAGCCAAAGACAAAGGAUGGGUGCACUAUUGCUGAUCAGGGAGAACAGAGUUCUGAUAAUAGAGACUGAGUAGCUAGAUGAUGCCAUUUUAACUGCUCCCGUACAUGCACGUGCGCACACACACCUACAAGCACUGCAACAAUCUACCACAGUAAGCUAAGCAGCGCCAUCUAGUGGAGAAUGGAGCCAUUACAGUAAGCCCCACCCAACUGGGCCAACCUCUGUCUUCAGGAACACAAGUCUCUCUGCCUGCUUAGUUUAUGGACUAUAAAGCGCUUCAUAGUUUAACUUCUGGGGGAAAACGAAGAAAUUUCAAUCAUAUUUCAGUCUGUUCACUGGUCCAUCUAUUCAAUUUUAUUUUUUUCUCUUUUUCAUUUCUUUCUUUUUCUUGAAUACAGAAAGAGAAAAAAUUAUUUUUAUUUUCAAUUUUUUUAAUAAUAUUUUUCUUUAAUUUUUUCUACUAUAUUUUUACUUUUGUGUAAAUUUUUUCAAAUUCUAUUUUACUUCCAUCAUUUCACUUAAUUCUAUUUCAGUGUAUUCAGUUUUUCAAAUUUUCAAACAAUUUCCUUUUUCUUUCCCCUUUUUACUCUAAUCUGUCAAGCCCCUUUCAAGACCCAGACCAAAACACACUAGGAUCUACCUUCAUUUAUUUGAUUACAUGUGUGUGUGUGUGUUGUUUGAAAUCUUUUAAUUUUAAUUUUUUAUUUUAAUUUAAUUUAUUUUAUUUUAUUUCACUCAUUAAUUCCUUUUCUCAUUUCAAAAUGAUGAAAUGAAGGAAUUCGCCCCAAAAGAAAGAGCACAAAGAAAUGAUGGCCAGGACUUAACCAACACAGACACAAGCAAGAUGUCUGAACCAGAAUUUAGAAUCACAAUAACAAGAACUAGCUGGAGUCAAAAAUAGAUUAGAAUCCCUUUCUGCGGAGCUAAGAGAAGUAAAAGCUAGUCAGGAUGAAAUUAAAAGAAUGCUAUAACUGAGCUGCAAUCUUGAAUGGAUGCCACGGCAGCAAGGAUAGAUGAGGCAGAACAGAGAAUCAGCAAUAUAGAGGACACAUUUAUGGAGAAUAAUGAAGCAGAAAAAAGAAGGAGACUAAGGCAAAAGAGCAUGAUUUAAGAAUUAAAGAAAUCAGUGACUCAUUUAAAAGGAACAACAUCAGAAUCAUAGGGGUCCCAGAAGAUGAAGUGAGAAAAAAAGGGGUAGAAGGGUUAUGUGAGCAAAUCAUAGUGGAAAACUUUCCUAACCUGAGGAAAGACACAGACAUCAAAAUCCAGGAAGCACAGAGGACCCCCAUUAGAUUCAACAAAAACCGACCAUCAACGAGGCAUAUCAUAGUCAAAUUCACAAAAUACUCAGGCAAGGAGAGAAUCAUGAAAGCAGCAAGGGAAAAAAAAGUCCCUAACCUACAAGGGAAGACAGAUCAGGUUUGCAGCAGACCUAUCCACAAAAACUUGGCAGGCCAGAAAGGAGUGGCAGGAUAUAUUCAAUGUGCUGAAUCAGAAAAAUAUGCAGCAAAGAAUUAUUUACACAGCAUAGCUGUCAUUCAAAAAAAUAGAAGGAGAGAUCAAAAGUUUCCCAGACAAACAAAAAUUAAAGGAGUUCAUGACCACUAAACCAGUCUCCCAAGAAAUUUUAAGGGGGACUCUCUGACAGGAGAAAAGAUGAAAAAUACACACAUACAUACAUACAUACAUACAUACAUACAUACAUACAUACCAAAAGCAACAAAGACUAGAAAGGACCAGAGAACACCACCAGAAACCCCCAACACUACAAGCAACAUAAUGGCAAUAAAUUCAUGUCUUUCAGUACUCACUCUAAAAGUCAAUGGACUAAAUGCUCCAAUCAAAAGACACAGGGUAACAGAAUGGAUAAGAAAACAAGAUCCAUCUAUAUGCUGUUUACAGGAGACCCACUUUAGACCUAAAGACACCUUCAGAUUGAAAGUAAGGGGAUGGAAAACCAUCUAUCAUGCUAAUGGUCAACAAAAGAAAGCCAGAGUAGCCAUACUUAUAUCAGACUAUCUAGAGUUUAAAAUAAAGACUGUAACAAGAGAUGAAGAAGGACAUUAUAUCAUAAUCAAGGGGUCUAUCCACCAAGAAGACCUAACAAUUGUAAACAUUUAUGCUUCAAAUGUGCAAGCACCCAAAUAUAUAAAUCACUUUAUCACAAAAAUAAAGAAACUCAUUGAUAAUAAUACCAUAAGAGUAGGGGACUUCAUCACCCCACUUACAACAAUGGACAGAUCAUUUAAUCAGAAAAUCAACAAGGAAACAAUGGCUUUGAAUGACACACUGGACCAGAUGGACUUACCAGAUAUAUUUACAACAUUUAAUCCUAAAGCAGCAGAAUAUACAUUCUCCUCCAGCGCACAUGGAAUAUUCUCCAGAAUAGACCACAUACUGGGACACAAAUCAGCCCUCAACAAGUACAAAAAUAUCUAGAUCAUACCGUGCAUAUUUUCAGACCACAACGCUAUGAAACUCAAAAUCAACCAUACGAAAAAAUUUGGAAAGGUAACAAAUACUUGGGAGACUGAAGAACAUCCUACUAAAGAAUGAAUGGGCUAACCAAGAAGUUAGGAAGAAAUUAAAAACUAUAUGGAAGCCAAUGAAAAUGAUAACACCACAACUCCAAACCUCUGGGAUGCAGCAAAGGCAGUCAUAAGAGGAAAGUAUAUAGCAAUCCAGGCCUUCUUAAAGAAGGAAGAAAGGUCUCAGAUACACAACCUAAUCCUACACCUUAAAGAGCUGGAAAAAGAACAGCAAAUAAAACUGAAACCCAGCAGAAGUCAGGAAAUAAUAAAGAUUAGAGCAGAAGUUAAUGCUAUCGAAACAAACAACAACAACAAAAAACCAGUGGAACAGAUCAAUGAAACCAGAAGCUGGUUCUUUGAAAGAAUUAACAAAAUUGAUAAACCACUAGCCAGUUUGAUCAAGAAGAAAAAGGAAAGGACCCACAUAAAUGAAAUCAAGAAUGAAAGAGGAGAGAUCACAGCCAACACAGCAGGAAUAAAAACAAUAAUAAGAGAAUAUUAUGAGCAAUUAUACACCAAUAAAAUGGGCAAGCUUGAAGAAAUGGACAAAUUCCUGGAAAUAUAUACACUACCAAAACUGAAACAGGAAGAAAUAGAAAAUUUGAACAGACCCAUAACCAGUAAGGAAAUCAAAUUAGUAAUGAAAAAUCUGCCAAAAAACAAGAGUCCAGAGCCAGAUGGCUUUCCAGGGGAAUUCUACCAAACAUUUAAGGAAGAGUUAACACCUAUUCUCUUAAAGCUGUUCCAAAAAAUAGAAAUGGAAGGAAAACUUCCAAACUCUUUCCAUGAAGCCAGCAUUACCUUGAUUCCAAAACCAGACAGAGACCCCACUAAAAAGGAGAACUAUAGACCAAUUUCUCUGAUGAACAUGGAUGCAAAAAUCCUCAACAAGAUAUUAGCCAACCGGAUCCAACAAUACAUUAAAAUAAUUAUUGGGGUGCCUGGGUGGCCUAGUCAGUUAAGCGUCUGACUUCAGCUCAGGUCAUGAUCUCUUGGUUUGUGAGUUCAAGCCCCACGUCAGGCUCUGUGCUGACAGCUCAGAGCCUGGAGCCUGCUUCGGAUUCUGUGUCUCCCUCUCUCUUUUCUCCUCCCCUGCUCAUGCUCUGUCUCUCUGUCUCAAAAAUAAAUUAAAAACAUUUAAAUAUUUUUUAAAAAAAUUAUUCACCACGACCAAGUGGGAUUUAUACCUGGGAUGCAGGGCUGGUUCAAUAUCCGCAAAACAAUCAAUGUGAUUCAUCACAUCAAUAAAAGAAAGGACAAGAACCAUAUGAUCUUCUUGGUAGAUGCAAAGAAAACAUUUGACAAAAUACAGCAUCGUUUCUUGAUAAAAACCAACAAGAAAGUGGGGAUAGAAGGAUCAUAACCCAGGAUCAUAAGAGCCAUGUAUGAAAGACCCAAUGUUAAUACCAUCUUCAAUGGGAAACAACUGAGAGGUUUCCCCCUAAGGUCAGGAACAAGACAGGGAUGUCCACUCUCACCGCUGUUACUCAACAUAGUAUUGGAAGUCUUAGCCUCUGCAAUCAGACAACACAAAGAAAUAAAUAGCAUCCAAAUCGGCCAGGAGGAGGUCAAAUUUUCACUCUUCGCAGAUGACAUGAUACUCUAUAUGGAAAACCCUAAAGAUUCCACCAAAAAACUGCUAGAACUGAUUCAUGAAUUCAGCAAAGUUGAAAGAUAUAAAAUCAAUGCACAGAAAUCGGUUGCAUUCCUAUACACCAACAAUGAAGCAACAGAAAGAGAAAUCAAGGAAUCGAUCCCAUUUACAGUUGCACAAAAAAAAACAUAAAAUACCUAGGAAUACAUCUACCCAAAGAGGUGAAAAAAUCUAUACACUGAAAACUAGAGAAAGCUUAUGAAAUAAAUUGAAGAAGACACAAAGAAAUGGAAAAAGAUUCCAUGCUCCCGGGUAGGAAGAACAAGUACUGUUAAAAUGUCAAUACUACCCAAAGAAAUCUACAUAUUCAAUGCAAUCCCUAUCAAAGUAACACUAGCAUUCUUCACAGAGCUAGAACAAAUAAUCCUAAAAUUUGUAUGGAAGCAGAAAAGACCCUGAAUACCAAAGCAAUCUUGAAAAAGAAAACCAAAGCAGGAGGCAUCACAAUCCCGGACUUCAAGGUGUAUUACAAAGCUGUAAUCAUCAAGACAGUAUGGUACUGACACAAGAACAGACACUCAGAUCAAUGGAACAGAAUAGAGAACCCAGAAAUGGACCCACAAACGUAUGGCCAACUAAUCUUUGAUAAAGCAGGAAAGAAUAUCCAGUGGAAUAAAGACGGUCUCUUCAGCAAGUGGUGCUGGGAAAAUUGGACAGCGACAUGCAGAAGAAUGAACCUGGACCGCUUUCUUAUACCAUACACAAAAAUAAACUCAAAAUGGAUGAAAGACCUAAAUGUAAGACAGGAAGCCAUCAAAAUCCUCAAGGAGAAAGCAGGCAAAAACUUCUUGGAUCUUGGCUGCAGCAACUUCUUACUCAACACAUCUCCGGAGGCAAGGGCAACAAAAGCAAAAAUGAACUACUGGGACUUCAACAAAAUAAAAAGCUUCUGCACAGCGAAGGAAACAAUCAGCAAAACUAAAAGGCAACCGACAGAUUGGGAAAAGAUAUUUGCAAACGACAUAUCAUAUAAAGGGUUAGCAUCCAAAAUCUAUAAAGAACUUAUCAAACUCAACACCCAAAAAAACAAAUAAUCCAGUGAAGAAAUGGGCAAAAGACAUAAAUAGACCAUUCUCCAAGGAAGACAUCUAGAUGGCCAAACGACACAUGAAAAAAUGCUCAACAUCACUCAUCAUCAGGGAAAUACAAAUCAAAACCACCAUGAGAUACCACCUUACACCUGUCAGAAUGGCUAACAUUAACAACUCAGGCAACAACAGAUGUUGGCGAGGAUGCAGAGAAAGACGAUCUCUUUUGCAUUGUUGGUGGCAAUGCAAGCUGGUGCAGCCACUCUGGAAAACAGCAUGGAGGUUCCUCAAAAAACUCAAAAUAGAACUACCCUACAACCCAGCAAUUGCACUACUAGGCAUUUAUCCAAGGGAUACAGGUGUGCUGUUUAGAAGGGACACAUGCACCCCCAUGUUUACAGCAGCACUAUCAAUAAUAGCCAAAGUAUGGAAAGAACCCAAAUGUCCAUCGAUGGAUGAAUGGAUAAAGAAAAUGUAGUAUACACACACACACACACACACACACACACACACACACACACACAAUGGAGUGUGACUCGGCAAUCAAAAAGAAUGAAAUCUUGCCAUUUGCAACAAUGUGAAUGGAACUAGAGCAUAUUAUGCUAAGUGAAAUAAGUCAGAGAAGGACAAAUAUCAUAUGAUUUCACUCAUAUGUGUCAUUUAAGGAACAAAACAGAUGAAUGUAGAGGAAGGGAAGCAAAAUACGAUAAAAACAGAGACGGGGGCAAACCAUAAGAGACUCUUAAAUACAGAGAACAAACUGAGAGUUGCUGGAGGGGAGGUGGGUCAGGGGAUGGGCUAAGUGGGUGAUGGGCAUUAAGGAGGGCACUCGUUGGGAUGAGCACUGGGUGUUAUAUGCAGUGAUGAAUCGCUGGGUUCUACUCCUGAAACCAAUACUAUACUGUAGGUUAACCACCUUGAAUUUAAAUAAAUAAUUUUUUUUAAAGAUGGUGGAUGUUAUCAAUGCUUUUAUGCAGACAUUGUGAUAAUAAUAUUGUUUUUCUCCCCUUAUUCUAUAAUAGAGUGAAUUGCACUAAUUUUCAGAUGCUAAAUCAACUUUAAUUACCAAUUUUUUUAAUGUUUAUUUAUUUUUGAGAGAGACAGAGACAGAGCAUGAGCGGGGGAGGGACAGAGGGAAAGGGAGACAGAAUCUGGAGCAGGCACCAGGCUCUGAGCAAGCUGUCAGCACAGAGCCUGACAUGGGGCCUGAACCCACAAACUGCGAGAUAAUGACCUGAGCCAAAGUCGGACACAACCAACUGAGCCACCCAGGUGCCCCUAAACCAACUUCAAUUUCUAAGAUGAACUCCUAGUUGUUCAUAAUAUAUCCUUUCAUGUGUAGCUGGUUAUAAUUUGCUAGUAUUUGUUAGAGAUUUUUGCAUCUAUUUUCAUAAGAAAAAGUGAGUAAUUUUCUUUCUUUGCAACGUCUUUCUCUUUUUUUAAAUAUCAGGAGAGUAUUGAUCUCCAAAGGUAAGUUGGAGAAAGCUCCCUUCCUCUGUUGUAUUUGGAAUGAGUUUGUGUUGGAUUAGUAUUAUUUCUUCCUUUAAUGUUUAAUAAAAUUCACCAGUGAAGAAAUUUAGGCCUGGAUUUUCUUCUCCUUUAUUAUUUUUUGGGAAGAGAGGGAAGAGAUUUUAAUUACAAAUUUAAUUUCUUUAUGAUAUAGGGCUCUUCAAGACAUCCCCCUUUUUCUUGAGUAAUCUUUGCAGUUUGUACUUUUCAAGAAAUUUGUCCACUUCUUCUAAAUUGUCAAAUUUACUGGCAUGUUUUUCAAAAUAUUACCUUAUUAUCCUUUUCACAUCCAAAGGACAUGUAGUGAUGUUUUUUCUUUCAUUCCUGAUGUUGAUAGUUUGUGUCUUCUCUCUUUUCUCUUGAUCAAAGUACAGAUAUAUCUCAUUUUAUUGAUAUUUUCAAGGAACCAGACUUUAGUUUAACUUUUUCUAUUGUUUGUUUUCUAUUAAAUGAUUUCCACUCCUAUCUUUCUUAUUUCUUUCCUUGUAUUUAUUUUAAAUUUAAUUUGCUCUUUUUUACUGGUAUGUUAAGGUAUAUAUUUAUAUAAUUAAUUUUCAACUUUUCUUUUCUUUUCUUUUUUUUAAAUUUUUAAACAUUUAUCUAUUUUUUGAGAGACAGAGCAUAAGCAAGGGAGGGGCAGAGAGAGAGAGAGAGAGAGAGAGUCACAGAUUCUGAAGGAGGCUCCAGGCUCUGAGCUGUCAACACAAAGCUUGACACAGAGCUUGAACCCAUGAACCAUGAGAUCACUACCUGAGCUGAAGUCAGAUGCUUAACCAACUGAGCCACCCAGGUGCCCCAACUUUUCUUUUUUUCUAACAUAAGAAUCUGAAUUGUAAAUUUUCUUCUAUGUUAUAUUAACCACAACCCUCAAAUUUUGAUAUCCUUUGUUCUCUUUUCCUGCCUUUCUUUAGGUAGAGUUUUUGCUUGUUUUUACUAUUUCAUUAUAUUUCCACCAGUAGCCUAUCAGUGAUGCAUCUUUCCCCUAUGCUUUACAAUAUUUAUCUGUAACUUAACCGCAAUCUACCUUCAGACAAUAUUAUAUCAAUUAAUACAUAUUGAAAGAGACAUAAUAAUAUGCUUCUGUCUCCCUCCUAUCCUUUGUUGUCAUACAUUUUACUUCUAUAUAUGUCAUAAACACCACAAUACAAUGUUGUUGGGGUUUUUUUUCAUUAAACAGUUAAUUUCAAAUUUUUUAACUAAGAAAAAAAUUCUGCAUUUAAAUUUCUUGGUGUUCUUCAUUCCUUUGUAUAGGUCCAAAUUUUCAGCUGGUAUUAUUUUAUUUGAACUUAAAGAAUUUCCUUUAGCCUUUUUAAAAGUGAAAACUUGUAUAAAUUCUCUCAGCUUUUGUUUGUCUGAAAAUGUCUUUACUUUCCUUCAUUUUUGAAGAGUAUUUUCACUGAUGUAUAAUUCUAGAUUAACAUCUUUUUUUCUCAUUCUGUUAUUUUUUUAUGUUUAUUUAUUUUUAAGAGAGAGAGAGAGAGAGGGCAAGCGGGGGGAGAGGCAGACAGAGGGAGACACAGAAUCUGAAGCAGUCUCCAGGCUUUGAACUGUCAGCACAGAGCUGACACGGGGCUCAAACUCACAAACCACGAGAUCAUGACCUGAGCCAGAGGCUUAAGUGACUGAGCCACCCAGGAGCCCCAUCUCAUUCUGCUCUUUAAAGAAAUUAUUCCUUUGUCUUUUGGCUUCCAUUGUUCCUAAUGAGAAAUCUAUGAUAUUUCUUAUCUUUAUUCCCCUGUAUAUAAUACAUAACUUCUUUUAUGUCUGCCUCAAAUAUUUUCUCUUUAUCACUAGGUUUUUAGUAAAUUUGUUAUGAUGCGCUUUGGUAUGGUUUUCUAUGUGUUUAUUCUAGAGUUUGUUGAGUUUCUUGGGUCUGUUGUUUAUAGCCUUCUUGUUUCAAAAACAUUUUGGCUACUAUUUCUUCAAACAUUUUUCUGCCUCUACGCUUUCUGGGAUCCUGGUUAUCCACAUGUUAUAUCACUGCAGUGUUCCAUAGGUAAUGAAGCUCUAUUCACUUUUUUUCAAGUCUUGUUUUUUUCUUUUUCUGCUACAGGUUGGAUAUUUUUAAUUACUAUGUCUUCAAGGUAACUGAUGUUUUCUUCUUCAUUAUCUAAUCUGGUUUUUAAGUUACACAAUGUCAUCUUUAGUUCAGAUAUUGUACUUGUAAACUCUUAAAGUUCCAUUUGGUAACUUCCACUUCUUUCCUCAUAUGUUCAUAUUUUCAUUUAAAUCUCAAAUAUCUCUCUCUCUCUCUCUCUGUAUAUACAUAUAUAUAUAUAUAUAUAAUAUACAUAUAUAUUAGCUACUUCAAAGUCUAUGUCUGCUAACUCCAUCAUCUGUUUUAUUUCUGGGUCUAUUUCUAUAGAUUAAUUUUCUCCUGGUUAUAGGUCAUAUUUUCCUGCUUCCUUCCAUGUCUAAUCAUUUUAUUGAAUGUCAGACAUUGUGAAUGUUCCAUUGUUGAGGGUCUGAAUUUUGUUUCCUUCCUUUAAAGAAUGUUGAAGUUUGUUUUGUUUGGGCAGGAAUUUAGGUUACUUGAGGGUCAGUUUUGUUCUUUUUAACUUUUAUUAAGGUAGCUCUAGAGUACCUUAACUCUGAGACUAUGUUAGCUCUACUAUGACUAUGACCCUUUUGAGGUCUCCACUGAAUGCCCAGGUGUUCAACAAAUUCUCUCCCCAGUAGCCAGCUGGAAUUUUAAUGUCUCCCAACCUGGUUCGGCUUAUACCUACCCAGUAGUUAUUAUUUCCCCACACUCAUUAAGUUUCACCCUGUGCAUGCACAACUUAGGAUUUAGACAAAGACUCAAGAGAGACCCCUACACAGAUUUCUAGAACUUUUUUCUGGGUAGGUCCUUCCUCUCAGGUACUCUACUCCUAGAAACUCUUCUUGAGUUUUCUCUCGCUGCUCUGCCAGAAAGUGCCAUCAGGCAUAAAGCUAGGGUAAUCGUUAGGCUCACCUUGUUUGUUUUCCUUCUUUCAUGGAUCAUAGUCCUGUGCUAGCAUCGUCCAAUGUCUGGACAGUUGUUUCAUAUACUUGUCCAAUUUUCUAGUUGCUUAUGCAGGAGGGAAAGCCCAGUACAAUUUACUCAGUCAUGUUCCAUGUUACUUCAUUGAAAUGUUACUUCAAAAGUUGCAAUCACUCCAACAAUACUCCCUGUCCUCCUUUCCUGCUUCAUUUUUCUCCUUAGUACUCAGCAUCCAACACUAUCUAUUUUUGCAUUAUUUUGCAUUAUUUUGAAUUAUUUCCCUUCAUUAAAAUCCAGGCAGGCAGAGAUUUUUUGUGUAUUUUGUUACAGCUGUAACAAGCACAAAGAUAAGUUGUAGCUCAGGCACAAAGGUAAGUUUUUAUAAUACAUUAAGGACUCAAUAAAUAUAUAAUAGAUGGAUGAAUAGAUGAAGUUUCAAAAACUUUCCUAAAUGACAUCCCUAACCUUUCUGCAUCUUGCAUCAUGGUGCUGAUACACCUUUAUUGCUUAUGUGUCUGUUUCUCUUCUUCUCUCUCUCUCUUUCUCUCUCUCUUUCACUCUGUGUGUGUCUCUGUCUCUUCUUACACACACACACACACACACACACACACACACACACACACACACACACACCCAGGAGUUCUUGAAUAACAGGAAUAUGAUUUUGUCUAUCUGUGUGUUCCCACCUCCCAACACAGGGCUGGUCACAGGAGAGUUGCCAUUUAUAUGACUGGAAAUUGUCCACAUCUUAAAAGUGAAGUUUUCUAGAAAACCAGAAGAGGGCAGUACAAGGCCAUGCAUGUCUUUAUUGUGUCCCAGUGCAUCUUCUCUAAGUAGGAACUGGUCUCAGAUGGAGCUGGACUUUCAGUCUUAGGCUUAGACACACAGAGCUAGUGCUAUUCUCUCAGAAAAGGACUCAGGAGGGCCCAGGAAGCCUCCCUUAAGUUGUUCUGUCACACGGUUUUGCUGAUUCACCCUCUCCCACCAUUUACUCCUUCAUCCAUAAACACCCAGCCUUGACUGAUGAAGCAGACACACACACACACACACACACACACACACACACACACACACAGUUCUUCUUUGCAAAAGAGACUUCCUUUCAUGAUCCCAUCACCUCCUCUCCCAGCCUGUGCUAUUUAAGUUUCAUGGUUAAAAUGGGAUUUCUCAAAGGUCUGUUUCCUGGCCUCCCUGUUUACUUAAUGCACUUUGCAAAUUCCCUUGAAGCUUUUAAUACACGCCAUUUAAAUUUAAUCCUUACCACAAGCACUGCCAGGAGGUAAGCUUUGUUAGUUCCAAUUUAUAGAUGAGGAACCAGGCUCAGAGAGGAAAAGGAACUUGCCUAAGGUCACACAGCUAGUGGGUGGAAAGGGUGAGACCUGCACCCAGAUGUGCUAGUCCAGGGCUCCUGUGGUCACUUGCAGCCCCUUCUCCAGCUCAAGCUCCAGAGGAAGAGGGCAAGUGGGCUGGAAGCCACAGUGCAUGCUCUUUCUUCUCAGGAUUAUUGUUCUCAUCCCAAAAUAAGCUCAGUCACUCCAGACUUGCUUCCCACCCCCCACCCCCCACUUCCAGUAUAAACCUCCUCUGUGGUAUUUACCCCCAGGGCCAUUGCCUGCUUCCUGGAAACUCUUGCAGGGCAGAGCAUGGAUAUUAUUGGUGUAUUCCAGAGCUUCACACAGCCCCCUGCAAGGGCUCCCUCAGACCAGGGUUGCUGGAUGGAUAAAGUAACCAAAAAGAAGGACAAUGCCUAGAAACUCUUUAGAGUUUCAUCUACUUCCCCCAUAAUUUAAUCCAGCAAAUAGUCCCUGAGGCCCUCCCAGUACAGGGCCCUGUGCUGGGGGCUAAAGACAGUUGACGGAUGGGGAAACUGAGGCUACGACACAGCCGAGGCACAAAAACUUGCAGCAACUGAGAGGAGGCUGGGCCCAGAAUAGAAGGAGAAUCCCAGUGGGGGCAGCUCUCACCCCUGCCCAUAAUAAUGCUGGGAACCAGUUGCUGUUUCCGGCUGCCUGGGACCCACUGGGAGAGAAACAAUUGUUUAGCUUGGAGCCUGGCCCCUUUCCUACCACCCAAUCUUUCCCUUUCCCAUUGUCCUUAGGCCUCUCAUCAGGGUACAGGAUACAGCUGCUGGCAAAGCAAAGAAAAGAAUGGGAAAAGGGUUGGGGGAAGCAGAUGAGGCCAUCCCAGGAGAGGACAGACCCUUACUGGUGGUCCCUUCCAGAUGAGCUGCAGACAAAGGCCUCAGGCUGCGGGCUCCCUGGGUGAACAAGUUGGGCUUCAGAGGCAAACAGAUCCAGAUUCAGGCCCCAGCAUCUGCCUCUGACGUGAGGUGCCUCUUUUUCUGAGCAUCGAUUUCCUUCUCAGUUAGAGCAUGGUAAGGUGCUUGCCUAGUGAGGAUUGGCUUAUUGUGGUGAGGAUUAACACCAAAAUGCCUGAUACCUAAGUAUUUCUAAAUGUUCGUUUAUCUUCCCUCCCCCCACUUUGAUUAUAGCAAACCACCAAGAAAUAUGAUGAUGGCAGAGAGGCUUCUUAUAGCAGAUGGAAGCAGCACAUUUGAUUAGGUAAAUGACGAUGUGUUACCAAGUCAUCAUUAAAAUCAAAUUUUAGGGGCACCUGAGUGGCUCAGUCGGUUAAGCGUCCAACUUAGGCUCAGGUCAUGAUCUCACAGUUUGUGGGUUCGAGCCCCACAUUGGGGUCUGUACUGACAGCUCAGAGCCUGGAGCCUGUUUCAGAUUCUGUGUCUCUGUCUCUCCCGGCCCCUCCCCCGCUCGUUCUCCCCCCCCCCUCAAGAAUAAACAAACAUUAAAAAGUUUUUAAUCAAAAUUUAAAAUCUGUAGUAAAUCACAUUUAAUAAUUAAUAAUGACAUUAAUGGAAUAGCUGAAAUUUAUUGAGACAUUUAUUGACAUUUCCUAUGGGAUAGGCACAUUACUUGUUCACAGCUACCCUGUAAGCUGGGUAUUAAUCAGGGCCAGCUUCAUGGAUGUGUGAGUAGUGCAGUUACACAGAGCCCUCCACUCAGAAGGGCACUCCAUAACUGGGGUUUAAUGCUCUGUGGCUACCAUCUUAUAAUUCUUAAUAAUUUUAACUUUGAAUUUGUGUUUUGUAAGUGAAGUCCAAUGAAAUAAUGGAGCAAGCUCUGGGGACUUGGAAACUCAGCUGACACAUAGCUCUGCCUCUCAUUGUCUCCCUGCCUCACCCUCCCCAGAAUGGGUUCUUGGCUGCCUGCUCCCUGGCCUCUGUCCCAGGCAGGGGCUUGGAUUCAGGCAUAGGGAAAAUUGGGUUGAGGAUGCCUGCCAAGUCAUGAGGCAGGGCCCCAUAACCCUGUGAGUAUCCCCAUGCCCAAAGGACUGCAACUUUAAAUAGUGAAUAAUAAACAGGUUGAGUGCAAAAUCACAGAAGCAAGAAAAAAGGCUUUUUUUCCUGCUUUUUGAACAAGGAGCCCUGCAUUUUCACUUGCACUGGGCCUCCCAAAUUAUGUAGUUGGUCUUGGGUACUAUUACUACCACCAUUUCACAAAAGUGGAGGUUCACAGAGGCUCAGUAAUUCCCCUGAGAUCACACAGCUACCAAGUGGCAGAGUUCAGGCACGGACUUGGAUCCCAGAGGAAAGGAUUCAUCUGAGAUCUCAAAGAGCCACAACCCAAGAAUUAGAAGCCCUGGAUCUGAUUUCUGACCAUGAUGUUGGGCAAGUUUGCCCCCACUCUGUGCCUCAGUUUUCCCAAGUGAUAGUGCUCUGUGGAAUUUUCCCAAGGUAGCAGAGGGUGUCAAGAUUUGGCUUUGCACCUAUACAGGUUGAGAUUUUGAGCACGGGAAUGUCAUCUCUGCCCACCUUCCCCACAGAGAUGCUAGGAGGAUUUAGUAGGCAUCACUUGUCCUACAUGACACUUCACAGCAUAUAAAGCACUUUCAUGCCACUCCCUCCCCAGAAAGCUGGGCAAGGAAUAUUCUUAUUACCAGUUUACAGACAGGGAAGUUGAAGCAUCUGACCCACAGAGUGAUUUAGUCAAGUUCACACUGCAUUUCAGGCAAGUUUUGGAAGGGUUAUAAGGGUUCCACAGAUAUAUGUACAUCCCCAAAUGAAAAGAUGGGUCACAACAUUGGUGAGUCUGGUGUGGGAGCACACCAUGGGCUUCUCAGUGCAGGAACACUUGCUCUGAGAAGGUUGGCUUCACCUCUGGUCUUAACAGUCCCAGGUAUGAAGGAGGAGGCCAGAGAGACACCAAGAGCUCCUGAGAGAAGACACCUGACCAGCAACUUUCAAAGGUCCUGGGAAUCCUUUCGGAUGUUUACCCAACACAGGAGGGCUGUUAUCCACAGAUCGACAGACAAACAGACAGACAGAGGGGCUAAAUGACAGACUGAGCAGAAGUAUCCCCUUAGCUCUCAGUUCCAAUCCUCAAGUCUCCCCACCCAUGACUAGCCCACUGGCCAGUCCUGGGAUAGGGCCCCAUCUGCAGAGAGGGCAGAGUCUGGCUGACCGGAAGUCAUUGCAGCUAGGUCAUGCAUCCUCGGCCCGGCACCACUCCCCUGGAUUUCUCAGUCCCUGGUUCCCUGGGUGACGAUGUGGCAUCUACAACACAGGAGGGCCAUGGGAAGGGCUGUCCUAAGCUAGCCACCUGUCUUGCCUGGGGACUCUCAUGACCCCAGAACGUGUUUGUGAAAUGCCUCCUGAAGUCAGGACCCUUUCCUGCCUGUCCCCAGACCUUCAGGAAGGUGCUAGUGCAGAGUUGUCCAAUAAAACUUCCUAUAGAGAUGGAAAUGUUCUAUGCUGCCCAAUAGCCACUAGCCACAUAUGGCUAUGGGACACAGUGGCCAGUGAGACUAAGAAACUAACUUAAACUUUUUAUUUAAUUUUAAUUAAGUUAAAUGUCAACUUUAAAUUGCCAUGUGUAGCUAGUGGCUACCAUACUGAGCAGCGCAGUUCUAGAAAAAAAAGGAGAUAAUAAAAACAGAAUAACUGCACCAUAAUUGGGGCUUCAAAAGCCCUUUCACAAGCACCUUAUCUGGGCUAGACAAAUGAGAGGAGAGUAGUAUCUUAACUGUCCUGUGAAACAAAUGUUAAUCCCCAUUUUGCAGAGGAGAAAACUAAGGCUCAGAGAAUUUUUUUAAUGUUUUUAUUUAUUUAUUUUUGACAGAGAGAGUGUGUGUGCAGGAGGAACAGAGAGAGAGGAAGACCGAGAAUCCCAAGCAGGCUCCGUGCUGUCAGCACAGACCCCAAGGCGGGGCUUGAAGCCAUGAACCGUGAGAUCGUGACUGAGCCAAAACCAAGAGCCCAACGCUCAACCAACUGAAAGCUCAGAGAAUUUAAAUGGCUUCCAUGUUGACAGAGCUAGUACUACAAGCAUGACUUCAUCCCAUAUCUCUUGAUUCCAAAACUCUAUUAGUACCUGUAUUCAACCCUGCCCACUUCUGUAAACAUUACAUAUUUAUUGGCUCAUUAUUAUUAGAUGCCUAGCUCUGGGCUAGACACAUACAGACAAAUAAGAGACAGGCCUAGGCUUUGGAGGGGGUAUCCCAGACAAAGAUGAAUAAUUACCACAAUAAUAUGGGGCUAUAAAAAUUACUUCAAGUGACUUUUUUUCCAAUUAGUUCAAAGCACUUUGUUUUAAAAACCACCUAUAUUUGAUAGCUUUCAGAUUUAUAUUUCAGGCCCCAGCCUCUGCCCAGAACUCCAGAUGAAUACAGACAUACUUCAUCUUAUUGUGUUUUGUUUUAUUGCAUUUCGCAGAUAAGUGCAUUUUUUUUUUAAAUUGAAGGUUUGUGGCAACCGCGGGUCAAGCAAGUCUACUAGCACCAUUUUCCCCACAGCAUUUGUUUACUUCGUGUCUCUGCAUCACACUUAGGUGAUCCUCACAAUAUUUCAAACUUUGUCAUUAUUAUAUUUGUUAUGGUGAUCCAUGAGCAGUGAGUAUAAUCACUGAAAGCUCAGAUGAUGGUUAACAUUUUUUUAGCAAUAAAGUAUUUUUAAUCAAAGUAUAGAUUGUUUUUUUAGACAUAAUGCUAUUGCGCACUUAGUAGAUGACAGUAUAGUGUAAACAUAACUUUCAUUUAUUUAUUAAUUUUUUUUAUUUCUUUUUGAGAGAGAGAGAGAGAGAGAUAACACAAGCGGGGAAGGGGCAGAGAGAGGGAGACAGAGAAUCCCACGCAGGUUCUGCGCCAUCAGAGCACAGUUCAAUGUGGGGCUCAAACUCACGAACUGUGAGAUCAUGACCUGAGCCGAAAUCAACAGUCGGCUUAACCGACUGAGCCAUCCAGGCACCCUAGCCAUAACUUUUAUAUGCACAGGGAAACCAAAAAAUUCAUUUGACUCACUUUACUGAGAUAUUCACUUUAUUGUAGUGGUCUAGAACUGAGCCUGCAGUAUCUCCAAGGUGGGCCUAUAUAACAAGCAGUUCAUUUGAAUGUUGAAUUGGCUUCUCAAGUUUGCCCCAAACUGCUUUUCCCGAUCUCAGCAAUCUUUCUUUCCUUUGUUCCACACUAAGAUUGUGGAGUCAUCUAUUAUUCCUCUUUUGUUUUCAUACCUUUCGUGUAACCCAUCAGCAAAUAUCGUUAGCUCUGUCCUCA
rnacentral:lncRNA from 1 species